UCAGCAGACUCUCCUAAAUAACAGCAGCAAUUUUUCCUUACAAUGCCAACACAAUUACUGCUCUGGAAAAAAGCUUGAUGUCAGAAAAGACAAAGUACAUCACACAGAUGGAACGUACCAGAAGACCGCUUCCUUAUGCCGGCCUGGACAUAUUUUAACUGCUGUGAUCUUCUCCUUUCAAAACCUUGUCACUGCCGUUCAGCAGAAAUUCCACAGGUAUGGGACCAUCCUGCUGGAACAAAAUGCAGGUACUGGAACUCCAGUGCCAUUUUUGGGAAGACUGUGGAUACACUGAAGGCGUUUCCCAGCAUGAUCUGCAAGGGAAAAUAGUGAAGAAGCCAGAAAAUAGGGAAGCAAAACCACCACCAAUGCACCAAGUGUUUUUGCAGAAAUAGCAACAUGGCCAAGGUACCUCCAUCCCUUGUCUCCAAAGGCAAUCACAUCACAGGUAACGCAAUGUUUUCCUGCUUUGGGCAGCACUGCAGA